CAGCGCAAGAGGGAAGGGACCAAACGCGAAGUUAACCAUUUAAAGAAAUUGGGCGCACAGACCAAGUCAAAAGGGUGUCUGUUCCUUCCCCCAAUGCUAGUCCCUUUUAUUGCUUUAAUUUAAAGCCUAUUUCAAAACUUUUUGCUUAAAAACAUUUCAAUUCUUGUUUGUUUUUUCUUUAAAAAAAAACUUUUGAGAUACUCUCAACUCACGCCUCCUCUUCUCCCCUUUUUAGCCGGCACCGAUCCCGUCAAAGAUCUGUCGCGCCAUGGCCACUGAUGAAGGCCCGAUUCCGGCGACAGGCUCACGAUAACAGGUACUUCCCUUCCCUUACUUCUUGAAUUUCAUAUAUAAAAAGAAUGAAAUAAAAAAAAACCGAAAGAAAAUCAAAGAUAGAAAAAUAAUCACCUUCAAAAGAUCUUGUUUGAAUCAAUUUUGUUUGCAUGCUUUUUCGUACUCAAUCCGUAUUCAAUUUCUCUCAAAAAAAAGAGUUAAAAAAAACCAUUUACAAUCAAAAUUUAGAGGCUUUAUACCCCAAAACAAGCGGUUUUUGGCCAUUUUGCUCAUGCUGCAGGUCUUGAAGACAUGGGGGCGGAGAACACCGAUGUGGGGUGAGCAAUGCGCGAGUCGGGGGUCUUGCGUGGUGCAUGGAGGCUGUUGGUGGCCAUUGCUACGGAGCGAAAUAGAUGGAAACCCUAGAGUUUUCGAAUUUGGGCCUAGUGUUGUUGGGCCAUUUGUAACUUGGCUUGUAUUUUGGGCUGUUUUAUGUAAUUGGGUAUUUGGGCUUAUUUGUAAAUGGACUCAUUUGAUGAUCUGUUUUAAUUUUGGUUUUUUGUAUGUGUAAUCCGGGCCAAAAUUGGGUCUUACACUUGCUCCCUACCAACUCUUCCAUUACCAUCCCUAAUUGCGUACCUCUUACCACAAGCAUUGCAAUUACUUGAUCGAAAUUAACCAUUUUUAAGUGGAUAAAUUCUGCUAUUAAUCCAUUUAUUAUUUGUAAGUUAGAGAAAUUAACCAUUUUUAAAUGGAUAAAUUCUGCUAAAAUUGCUGUCC
rnacentral:lncRNA from 1 species